UCCGUUAUCGUCCAGCGGUUAGGAUAUCUGGCUUUCACCCAGGAGACCCGGGUUCGAUUCCCGAUAACGGAA
rnacentral:tRNA from 2 species